CAGAGGUGCCAGACUAGACAAUAGGAGAAGGCUUGUUUCUCAGUCCUCAAACGGACCCGUGGCCUGAGAGAUGUGAGGCCAUAGACCCUGUGCUCCACAUGCCACACAGAAACUGCAGGCUAUGAGCUGCUUCCAGGACUCAGCUCCAGGAUUCAUAAAGGAAGACGGGAAGGAAGAAUUUCCAAGUGUCAGCACAACUACGAAAAGAAAUGUUCUUUGACCGAAGCUACCUGAGGUUUCUGUGGUCACGGUGUUUCAGCGCAGCGAUAGAAACCUGCCUAAGGCAACAAGUCAAGAAGCACCAAGAGAUCUUUUGAGGUGGGAAGAUCCAUCUUCAAUCUGGGCCUUACCUUCUGGUGGCGGCUUAUAUAAUGGACCUGGAAGGAGAAAUUUCGCUCUUGCCUGCUUGCCCUUCCUCUCGUUGGCAGGUCCACCCUCCACUGGUAGUAGCGUCUACUUCUUCAGCAUUCCAGCAUAGAUGGAAGACUGGCUGAGACAUCCAGCACUGUAGACCGAACAGCUACUGGGUUCUUGGACUUUCCAAUGGGAGACAGCAUUGUUGGAAUAAUUGGACCAUAACUUGUAAUCCACUCUAAUAAAUUACACAUACACAGAGA